UUCAAAAUGCAAAAUUGUGAGGUUUUUCGUGGAGAACGCAUUGGAGAGAUUGAAAACUGAUUUGGAGCAUUCGAUUCAGGGUCUAAAUUCAAGAGAAUUUCGUGAGGAAUCUCAUGGUAAUCUCAGAAAAUGCGAGAAGAAGCUUCGUUCAAGCUUGAAAAUAUUCUGAGGUAGUUCGGAAGGAAAAAGCUCCAACACAGUGAUUUGGAGCCCGCGUGUUUGGCCUACAGG